rnacentral:rRNA from 1 species
CCUACGGGAGGCAGCAGUGGGGAAUAUUGCACAAUGGGCGGAAGCCUGAUGCAGCGACGCCGCGUGAGGGAUGAAGGCCUUCGGGUUGUAAACCUCUUUCAGCAGGGACGAAGCGUGAGUGACGGUACCUGCAGAAGAAGCACCGGCUAACUACGUGCCAGCAGCCGCGGUAAUACGUAGGGUGCGAGCGUUGUCCGGAAUUACUGGGCGUAAAGAGUUCGUAGGCGGUUUGUCGCGUCGUUUGUGAAAACCCGGGGCUCAACUUCGGGCUUGCAGGCGAUACGGGCAGACUUGAGUGUUUCAGGGGAGACUGGAAUUCCUGGUGUAGCGGUGAAAUGCGCAGAUAUCAGGAGGAACACCGGUGGCGAAGGCGGGUCUCUGGGAAACACUGACGCUGAGGAACGAAAGCGUGGGUAGCAAACAGGAUUAGAUACCCUGGUAGUCCACGCCGUAAACGGUGGGCGCUAGGUGUGGGUUCCUUCCACGGGAUCUGUGCCGUAGCUAACGCAUUAAGCGCCCGCCUGGGGAGUCGGCCGCAAGGCUAAAACUCAAAGGAAUUGACGGCUGGAGACGNGCGACGACGACGACGAGGGAGUAGG